GUCUAUGGCCGUGCCACCCUGAACAAGCCCGAUGUCUGAUCUCGGAAGCUAAGCAGGGUCGGGCCUGGUUAGUACUUGGAUGGGAGACCACCCAGGAAGACCAGGUGCUGGAGGCA
rnacentral:rRNA from 1 species